UACGUAGGGACCAAGCGUUGUUCGGAUUUACUGGGCGUAAAGGGCGCGUAGGCGGCGUGGUAAGUCACUUGUGAAAUCUCUGAGCUUAACUCAGAACGGCCAAGUGAUACUGCUGUGCUAGAGUGCAGAAGGGGCAAUCGGGAAUUCUUGGUGUAGCGGUGAAAUGCGUAGAGAUCCGGAAGAACACCGGUGGCGAAGGCGGCCUGCUGGGCUAUGGCUGACACUGAGGCGCGACAGCGUGGGGGAGCAAACAGGG
rnacentral:rRNA from 1 species